rnacentral:rRNA from 1 species
UACGAAGGGGGGCGAGCGUUGUUCGGAUUUACUGGGCGUAAAGGGCGCGCAGGCGGCUACAUUUGUCAGGCGUGAAAGCCCCGGGCUUAACCUGGGAACUGCGUUUGAUACGGUGUGGCUAGAGUUCGGGAGAGGAGAGUGGAAUUCCCAGUGUAGAGGUGAAAUUCGUAGAUAUUGGGAAGAACACCGGUGGCGAAGGCGGCUCUCUGGACCGAUACUGA